rnacentral:rRNA from 1 species
GAUGAACGCUGGCGGCGUGCCUAAUACAUGCAAGUCGAGCGAACGGACGAGAAGCUUGCUUCUCUGAUUGUAUCGGCGGACGGGUGAGGAACAAGUGGAUAACCUACCGAUAAGACUUGGAUAACUUCGGGAAACCGGAGCUAAUACCGGGUAAUAUUUUGAACCUGAUGGUUCAAAAGUGAAAGACGGUCUUGCUUUCGCUUAGAGAUGGAUCCGCGCUGCAUUAGCUAGUUGGUAAGGUAACGGCUUACCAAGGCAACGAUGCAUAGCCGACCUGAGAGGGUGGUCGACCACACUGGAACUGCGAAACGGCCCAGCAUCCUACGGGAGGAAGCAGUAGGGAAGAUUACGGAAUGGGCGAAAGACUGACGGAGCAGCGACGCGUGAGUGAUGAUGGUCUUCGGCUCGUAAAAAUCUGUUAUUAGGGAAGAACAUAUGUGUAAGUAACUGUGCACAUCUUGACGGUACCUAAUCAGAAAGCGACGGCUAACUACGUG